CACCUUUACCCUGUGUGGAAACAUGGCUAGGAAACAAUGUUUCCUGGUUAGCUCAUUUUUAGGAAACAUGACUAGAAAACAAUGUUUCCUGGUUUGUCCACCUUCAGGAAACAUGGCUAGGAAACAAUGUUUCCUUAUAGCUCAUCUUCAGGAAACAUGGCUAGGAAACAAUGUUUCCUGGUUAGCUCAUCUUCAGGAAACAUGGCUAUAGGAAACAAUGUUUCCUGGUUUGUCCACCUUCGGGAAACAUGGCUAGGAAACAAUGUUUCCUGGUUUGCCCACUUUUGUGCCGAAACAUGGCUAAGAAACAAUGUUUCCUGGUUAGCGCAUCUUCGGGAAACAUGGCAAGGAAACAAUGUUUCCUGGUUUGUCCACCUUCGGGAAACAUAGCUAGGAAACAAUGUUUUGUGGUUUUCUCUGCCCCCACAAAGUGUUUCGAGGCGAGAGUGUAUAAAUAUAUAUCGCUGAUGAUGUUGAUUAAACAGACAGCAGGAGUUGUCAAAUAUUUUGUUUAUCUUUUUUUAACGUAAAUUAAUCUCCCAAAUACGACGUGGGAUCACUUAUAUUUUAGAUGCACCUGCUCGUCGACAUUUAAAUGUAUCUUGGCUCUCUUUCAUUUCGCUGUUAAUGCAUCGCUUCUGGCUCUGCUGGACGAAACACAGCGAAAUAAAAACUACUGAUUUGCUUCUACAAAGAUUACGUGUUGUCGUCAAGGUUAGUGGUUUAAUAUCAUCAAACACUUUAUCAAUGUUGAGUAUACAUUGUAUUCAUUUACGCUCAUCAACAAUAUAUGUGUACUGGAGCUUUGUUUUACGAAAUGUAGGCAGUUCUUGUAACCUCCCUGUUCGAACUAUGCGUUCUGUUGCAUAAGAAAAGAGUUUAAGCUUUUCCCACCUAUAUCGCAUGCAAAAAUGAGUAGCCAAUCGGAAUACCCCAAUGCUUUAACUUUAUUCCACUAAAACUUUAGUGUUUCAAAUUUUCUUUUAAUUGAAAAUAUUUUUGUUCUUUAUUUUUACAUGCAUCGAUUUAAAAAAGUAUUAGGACUAAAAUGAAUUUUCCUGGCCAUUUUUGCGAUGAUAAUUCCUUUCUUCGUGUGCACGUUUUAAUUCUCGUAAUCCUAAACGGUUAAAUUAAACAGUAUUGAAUUAAAUAGGUUUAAUGUUGGUUUAAACUGACAUCUCAUCAGCACUGACAGAUGAUGUACUAUAGAAUAAUUACGCUUUAAGAUAAGAAAAACAAUAUAAAAUUAGUUUUACGUUUCCAAAGGAAAAGAUCACGAACAUAUAUAUUGGCAUUAUUUUUUAAUGACACGUGCUUUGCCGCGUGAAUUUUUAAUUAAAUUUGGGAUUCGGUAGUUGUUUCCCAUCAUUGUACAGUAAAAUUAACAUUUAUAAUGGUAGCCCAACUAAUUUUGUCUGUUCUGUUCUGUUCCGUUCUGUUCUGUUCCGUCCUGUUCUGUUCUGUUCUGUUCUGUUCAGUGCCAUGGGCCAUGCCUUGUUAUUGUCAGGACUAUGAUCCUGUAAUGUAACAAUUUAAGAACUUCUCGUUCUAAAUAUUUUUUUCAAAUUUUACAAGACUACAGAUAUUGUUUCCAGUUCUUGUAACAAGUUUGAAACAAGUUGUUAGUCUUUCGUAACAAGUUUUAUACUGGUUUCAAACUUGUUAAACAGGAUAUUAGCAAUUUGAUUCACGCUUGCGCAAACCUUUAAUAUAUGCGUGCGUCAUCAAGACAAAAAUGCUCCAAGUUUUGCACAGCAGUUAUUUUUAUAAACCGAAAGUUUACUUAGACAUUAAAGAAGAAUAUUCCGACAGUUUACUAUUAAUAGUAUAGUUCCAGCCCAGAUACCCCGUGGAUAGAAUAAUUUAAAAAGAUAAAUUCAGUUUGUUCAUGAAAGGUUUGAUUUGGCGACCGCAGGAGUUCAAUUAACACGUGUUCCUUUGAUGAUGUCUGCCUAAGCUGUUUAUUCUGGGCUCUACUUUAUUAAUAUAACUGUGAUUAAGGGUGUUAAACGUGACUCGUAAGUUCUAUGAUAUCAACGAGUCAUCAUUUGUCAUCAGAAUGUAUAAAACGAUAGCUAUAUAAGGUCAGGAUGGCAAGGAUUCGUCUUAACUCUUCUUAGUGUCAACCUGUCUCCUACCUCAAAUUUUCGCAAUCAAAUGAAGACAGAAAUGAGAAUGCAAAGAUAGUUUCUCUGCUUCAGUAAGUUGAAAUAAAACAUUGUAGUUUAGCAAGUGAACGAAAGUUUACUCCGCUUCAAGAUGUUUUCGCACCUUCUUUACCGUGGUUUGUCAACUAUAGAAGCUUGAGAAACAUUUGAAAAAGUGAAACUGUUUUACCAAACUGUUUUGUUUUCAUCAGUAUUGGGCGCUUUCCAUUAACACGGCCAGACCGGUCAGAACGGUCAAAAUGUUGAAUGGAACACAAAACAUUUGGGCUUCGGACCUAUCUGACAGGAAAAUUUAGAUAACAUUAGAAUGAGGUCCAUUUUCACUAGAUAUUUGAGAAACAUAGACCAGAUCUUUCCAUUGAUACAGAGACAAGAAUUCGGGUCUGACCGGUCAUGCAGGACAUUAAAUGGAAAGCGCCCAUAGCCUGAGAUUUAUAAAAUAACUACAACAUAGACUACAACAACCAACAAACAAGUGUAAUCUUACUAAUGUUAUAUUAAAUUGUUGAUUUGAUCUAUUCUAUAGCUUUAGAUUUAAAAUAAAUAAAGCCCGAGAAGGAGAGUUGUCAGUUCUUAAUGCUUUCCCAACUCUAUCACCAAACCUUAUUUUGAACCUUUAAUAUUUUGUUAAUCUAGAUCUUGAAAUGUCUUCCGUAACAAUGCAUGACUACCAACUCUCAUUAACUCUUAUCCACGUUUGACCGGGGCUUAUACAAACAACCUACUUAUAUCUUUUAUUUUUCAUCCAUAUUUUUAGCCGAACCAUCUGAGAUGGACAACUGUACAUCAUCAGGAGACGAAAUAACUCCAGGUUUCUAUCGAACCGUCGUAAUAGUCUCGUUAUGUGUUAUAAUCGUGGGUAUCACAGCGAAUUGUUUCAUCAUCAUUGCAUUCUGUAAAGUGAAACUACUCCGGACAGUGACGAAUUAUUUCAUAUUCCAGUUAAGUGUUGCCGAUAUCUUCCUCUUGCUUUCUCUUACAAUUUGGAUGAGUUUCGCGGCGACAAAAGUUUCUAUGAGUGAGCACCAGAGAGAGUUGACAAGAAGCGUUCUAGUUUCAAUCGAAGUCUUCUCAUCGUCUGCGUCACUUACAAGUCUUGCAUGCGUCAGUAUCGAUCGCUGUCUUGCAGUAACUGUACCACUGCGGUACCAAUCAAUCACGACCCAUUCACGUGCGCUUGUGGUGGUGCUUAUAGUGUGGUCCUAUUCCAUGAUUACAUUUUUUACGUCAUAUUCGCGCGUGGUAAUUAACCACGAUGUAAAAGAGAUGUACAGCAGAAUCUAUAUCACGUGCCUAUUCUCUCUCACAUUUGCGUUGCCAAUUCUAAUCACGAGUUGGUCAUAUUAUCGCAUAUUUUGCGCAGUUUGGCGGCAAGUGCAUCACGUCCCGAAGCAGUCGACCCCAAACCGUCGGUUCCGUAUGGUCAUGAAGGAAUUCCGAAUCGCAAUUAACAUUCUGGUCGCCAUCUUGCCCACCUACCUACUCUGGGGGAGUUUCUGGAUCGCCACUCUGAGAGAAGCCUUCUUGGAAAAUCACCCAAACUAUCCUGCUGUUGUGGAUUGGCUGUUAGGAAAUACCCCUCACUUUGCAGCCACUGUGAACCCCCUCAUAUACAUUGCAAUGACAAGGGAUUUUCGUCUUCUCUUCCUGCGGUUAUUGUCUUGUAAAAAACAGCGAGAAGAGUUCAAUGUAGAAGUGGAUUCAAGCAGGCAGCGUUCCAUAUCGAUGCGUAGUUGUUCAACGACUCAAAGCAUUCCGUUAGUUGAUGUUGUGUGCUCGGAGGACUUUGCUAAAAGCUUGACAUUGUCUGAAGAUAGUAAGUCUGGGAAUGGAAAUAUUUCUACCGAGUCCAGUUUUGUCACUUCCUCCACUCCGGACGAAAAUAAUGAAUUUGUCUCGAUUUAAAAUGGUAGCUUAUCACAGUACCAGUUUCCCAGCUUUGCACCCUAAUGUGGUGCCCAGUAUAGGCCAAUAUAUAAUACAUAUUACCUGAAGACGUUUGAGACACUUCUUUGUGGAAACACCACAUAAAUUUAUUCUUUGCAGAACUUUCGAUCCCCUAGUG
rnacentral:lncRNA from 1 species